rnacentral:lncRNA from 1 species
CUGAAGUUCAGCUUCCGUGAAGAAAACCAGCAAAGACUGAAGCGCGGAAGAAGGAACUACCAUGAGCGCGCAGCACCGAGGAUGGGUACGCCCAUCUGUGAAGAAGAUGGAAAUGUUCAUGGCUCUAGAGAAAAAGAACAGAGCCAUCCUGGUGAAGAGCAGCAAAAUUUUCAUUGAAAAAUCUUUACACUUCAUUUCGUCACUUAUGAAAUAUAAAAAGCUUGCAUCUCAGCAGGGACAAAGCUACAUGCAAGAGAUUCUGCACAGCAUUUUCUUCCUUGGCCUAAUUAACAGACCAAGGAUAAACCCUGAAGAUGUUCUGAAUGAAGAACUUGCCUUAAAGUUAAGACAGAAAUUUCCAGAUGCAUUUCAGAUAUACAGAACUAAACUACCCUCAAGACCACCAUACUCAAUUCUGCUGGAUGUGGUUGUUGAAAUAACUGGAGACCAAGAUGUGCCUGCUGUCCAGAAAAAGCUCUUGGACUUAAAUGCAAAAAUGCAUGUGCCUAAAUUACGGGAAGAUGGAACAGUGUGUGGAAAUGAUUUCACUUUAGCAUCAACUGUUGUGAGCUACUGCUACUUCUCAGACUCCCAGCAAAAAACCAAGAACUAUUUUGGUGUGUCUGUAGCCUGCAAGGGAGGAUUCCAAAGAAGUAUCUUUAUUGAUCAGGCUUGUAUUACGACAUGGAAUCGGAACGUGGCAUUUGCUGUGUGUUUGGCCGACAGCGAAAGUAAGUCAAUACAACUUCCAAAGUCUGUGUUUUCUGCAGCAUUUCAUAUGCUCAAUAACCUACCACAGAGAACCGCUAGUAACUCUAAUACACCCACCCAGCGGUACUACUCAAAACCUCCUUGUUUGAAAUGCUUAAAAAUAUUUCCAAAUGUAGUAUUCUUACCUCCACCCGAAAACAAUGACACACCUGCAUACUGGAUGUCUGGCAAUUGUGCAGAAUGUGAGGCCAUCAGUAAACUGUUGAAUGCAGAGAGCUGGGUGAAUGACAGAGUAGAGUUUGACCCCACUGUACCAACUCUUGAGGAAUUACUACAUGAAAGAAAGGAAAGACUGUAUCAGAAUCUGCGGAAAACCCCAUUUGAGGUUUAAUGGGGAUUCUUGAACAGAAGUUUCAUUCUGAAUGAUAUAAUGAAUAUUUUAGCACUUCAUUCGUCUUUGCUGCAUUAUUUUAACUGUGUAUUGGUACUGUAAUGCAAAACAAAC